UUGGGGAUCUCUGAGGUCUUUUCCAACCUGAAUGAUUCCAUGACUCUACAAGUUCACUCUGGAAACACGGGGACAACGUUCAACCUCAAGGAUACACAAGAUGAAUGUCAUCAGGACAAGACCUCUAAAGGAGAGCUCUCAUCACAGAACGAUCCCCACAUCAAACCCAUGUUCUCCAGUCAGAGCAGUCCUGUGUCAUCAACAUCCAAGUGCCUGGGCUGCAAAACAUUUACACUCUGAUAAGACUGUUGAAAACACCUCUAUAAAGCCAAGCUCCUCCAAGAUGCUGGGCUCUUUGGCAUGCUUUUCCCAGAGCUCAGCCCCAUACAAUGCAUUCAGAGCUAAUGAUCCUGCAUCAUUUAUAAGCCAUCCAGCUUCACUUCUGAUUAAAACCCUACUAAAGAAUGGGGCAGCACCACAGAAAGAGGCUGAUGGCCUGGAGCACAACUUUCCUGCUACCACGGAGGUGUUGGAUGGAUGCACCCCAACAGCAGCACUGGAGGACAUGGCUGGGCACAGGGAUGGGGCACAACCCCGUGCGCUCUCUCCCUGUCCUGCUGUGUCUCUGGAGGAGGAUCUGUGCCCUUGGCACCGCUGCUCAAGGGCACAGAUGUUGGUCCCAGCCACCCAUCCCCGCAGCAGGGCAGCCAGCCUCGUACCACGCACCUGAAGACGAGGGGUCACUUUUUAACUGCAUUUCUUGUCUAAUGCCACGGGCCACGGAGUUCCUGUUGUGCAACACGGCUGCCAGGGGACAACAGGGGACGGACACCAGGCCGAGCUCAGAAUGAAGCAGCCCGUUCUGCCGUGACGGGUUACCGGAACGUAGCAAUGCAGAAGGAGCCAACAGAGAGCGGCAGGCAUUGCCAUGGAGGACAAGGAACAAACCACAACUCCAGCCCUGUACCGAUAUUCAAACAACGGCAAACAGCGCUCACAGUCUGAAAUCUCUCACCGAACCAACAUCACAACUGACACUGAACGACGUCGUAAGGAAAACCAACCAACGUGGCUUCAGAGAAGAGAUUUCUGUAAACAUUUUUAAUUAAAUUACAAGUCUGGGUUGGUAAAAGUAACUGUUGACACAGUCAGCUUCUGUAAGGCAUUGUUCUUGCCCAUACGCUAUACAAGUAUCCGUGUUGUAUCUUAAAUGCUAGUUACUAAAUACUUGUAAAUAAGGAUUUGUUCCACAGAUUGCCAGAGUCUGCAGCUAUCUGAUACAGUUUUUAACAACAAGGCUAAUGAAAAGAUAAAACAAUUACAAUGCAAAUCUGCAGGGUAAAAAGAAAAGCUGGUGGAAAAUGAAAGCCGUGAGAAGAGAAAUAAUGCAACCGAGCUAUCUCAGAGUGGCUCAAGCAAAACCAGACAGAAUUAUGGCCUCUGUUAUGCAGUGAGACCUACUGUAGUGUCGUACAAAGGACAGAAACAGACCCUCCAACCAAAAUCCAGAACCGAAAUCGAUAUUUGAUAGAGCAGAUUGCAAAGUGAACAUAAACGGCGUUAUGAAACAGUUGUGGGGGUGAAAAAAAUGAUAGCUGAGAACAGGGCAAUAUCAUCAAUGCAUUCUACCUUAGAAAGACUGACACAGAAUACUUCGUUUGGUUUCUGUUUCCUGUCCCUACAUUGCCAAAUGCUUAAACCAACAGCAACAGUCAGAGCAACAGCAAAAGAAAACUGUUUUGGCUGAGACUAAAGAACCUCUUCAGCUCAUAUAGGAAAUUACAUGGAGUUAUUUAUGACUGAAAACAGGCAGGAAGAAACUUCCCAUACUGUAAAGGCUAUUGAACUUACUAGGGUGGAACAAGAGGAGAUGCCGAA